rnacentral:rRNA from 1 species
AUGACGGGAGCUUGCUCCUUGAUUCAGCGGCGGACGGGUGAGUAAUGCCUAGGAAUCUGCCUGGUAGUGGGGGACAACGUUUCGAAAGGAACGCUAAUACCGCAUACGUCCUACGGGAGAAAGCAGGGGACCUUCGGGCCUUGCGCUAUCAGAUGAGCCUAGGUCGGAUUAGCUAGUUGGUGAGGUAAUGGCUCACCAAGGCGACGAUCCGUAACUGGUCUGAGAGGAUGAUCAGUCACACUGGAACUGAGACACGGUCCAGACUCCUACGGGAGGCAGCAGUGGGGAAUAUUGGACAAUGGGCGAAAGCCUGAUCCAGCCAUGCCGCGUGUGUGAAGAAGGUCUUCGGAUUGUAAAGCACUUUAAGUUGGGAGGAAGGGCAGUAAGCUAAUACCUUGCUGUUUUGACGUUACCGACAGAAUAAGCAC